AUUGAACGCUGGCGACAGGCCUAACACAUGCAAGUCGAGCGAGCGGCGGACGGGUGAGUAAUGUCUGGGAACCUGCCUGAUGGCGGGGGAUAACUACUGGAAACGGUAGCUAAUACCGCAUACCAUCAGAUGUGCCCAGAUGGGAUUCGCUAGUAGGUGGGGUAAUGGCUCACCUAGGCGACGAUCCCUAGCUGGUCUGAGAGGAUGACCAGCCACACUGGAACUGAGACACGGCCCAGAACCCUACGGGAGGCAGCAGUGGGGAAUAUUGCACAAUGGGCGCAAGCCUGAUACAGCCAUGCCGCGUGUGUGAAGAAGGCCUUCGGGUUGUAAAGCACUUUCAGCGGGGAGGCGUUACCCGCAGAAGAAGCACCGGCUAACUCCGUGCCAGCAGCCGCGGUAAUUC
rnacentral:rRNA from 1 species